UAGGAGAGACAGGGAGGAGGAGGGGAGGUAACAGACAUGCUCUACCUCUAGCUUCCCACUGUAAUUUUGUGAGGCAACGGAUUGACCAUUGUGCUAGUGUUCCGAGCUCAGUGGACCCUGUUUGCCACGUUCCAGGAGCCUGCUGUGUCAACCAGAAAGCCAAGGGUUCAGUUGUCAGAGUCCUUUAAGAUGAAAAAGGUUACCCUGGAGUAAAAUCGACAGCAUGAAUUUACAAUGAAAGAUCAGCAUACACACGUGGGGAAAAAAAUCCCCUUGAUGUCAGCAGAAACAGCCAAUUUAGACCUUUAAAGUCUUCAGAUCUAUGCUGAAAAAGAAAGGAGAGUGAUAGUUGAAGAGAAAGAAAGAUUACUCCAAAAGGAUGGUCUGAGAUCAAAGAAGUAAUGGGAAGCAAAAGAGAAGUCAAUAUGUGAAUAAAUAUAAAGAGGUAUUGUCUCUAUAAAACAUGUUGCAAG